CCAGUUCCCACCUGGUUCUGGCAGCAACUCUCCUGUUGUUUUCCUGUAAGCUGACCUCCUCGUCUGUUCUUACUCUGUCACUGAAUCUCUGCUGUUUUAAAAGCAUCUGUUCUAAUGCAACCUGCUGGGCGCCAAGGUUCUGGGGCCUUGUCACAGGUGCCAGAUGAUUUGUAUCGACCAGAAAACUGGCCAGCGGAACCAGGAUGUCUUCCAGAAGCUUUCUGAGAGCCGGGGGAGAAAGGUGAACUUUGGCGUGUACCUGAUGCACUCGUCCUUGGAUUUAUCGUCUCCGUGUUUCCUGUCAGUGGGAUCUGAGGUACUCCCUGUGUUGAAAGACUGUGGAGUGUCUUGAUUCACCCUCUUCCCAGCCAUACCCACGUGCUAUCUCCUGACAUUUCUCCCAAGAGCAUUAAAGUUUUUCUUU
rnacentral:lncRNA from 1 species